rnacentral:rRNA from 1 species
UACGAAGGGGGCUAGCGUUGUUCGGAAUUACUGGGCGUAAAGCGCGCGCAGGCGGUUCUCCAAGUCAGUGGUGAAAGCCCGGAGCUCAACUCCGGAACUGCCAUUGAAACUGUUGAACUUGAGGACGAGAGAGGUGAGUGGAAUUCCCAGUGUAGAGGUGAAAUUCGUAGAUAUUGGGAAGAACACCAGUGGCGAAGGCGGCUCAUUGGCUCGUAUCUGACGCUCAGGCGCGAUAGCGUGGGGAUCAAACAGG